AGUAUCAGAAGAAUCUGUAAAGCUCAGGAGGGAUAGCGCCAUACAAUUCGAUCCUGACCUUGCACGGAUUCGAUCACUUUGGCGCUAUCCAUCCUGAGUUUCAUCGCUUCUUCUUGCU
rnacentral:pre_miRNA from 1 species